AUUACAUUGACAUUAUUUUUAGGCUCUGUACAAAACAUAAUAAUUCCUGACUAUGCCUUUUAAUCCCACAGUUUUAGUGGUGUUUACGCAUCAAUUUGAAAGUGGAAUUUCAAAGUCCACUGAAAGUCUUUCUCUGAGGAGUGAAUUGUCUUUAUCCCUUAGCGUCUCUCCUGAAAGCUCUUAUUUGAAGGCUCCCUACGGAUCUUGAUCUCCUUCCUGGCAUCUGACUCCAGGAAGGUGGUGUCUGAGCCACCUCCUGCCAACAAAAUCCUGGGAAAAUAAAGCUGGACCCAUUCAAGGCAAAAUUCCCCAUAGCCACAGCAAGCUGGAAUGAAUUUACAUGCACAUUUAGUUGAUAUUUCCUGCUUGUCUCUUGAACAUGUAAAUGGAUGCUACUCCCUUCUGUAGAAGCAGGGUCAGGUAAGGACACACUUAAUGCCUACAGGUUUCCCCAAGGGCCCCCAGGCCCCCAAUCUCCCAAUCUCACACUUCCCUAAUACGGUGACUCAUGGAGCCUCACGCCCACGGUGAAACCCUGAAACCCUGCCAGUUCCUUCAAAUAUAUAUAUAUAUUUUUUGAGAUAGAGUCUUGCACUGUCGACCUGGCUGGAGUACAAUGGCACAAUCUUGGCUCACUGUACCCUCUGCCUCCCGGGUUCAAGUGAUUCUCCUGCUUCAGCAUCCCGAGUAGCUGGGAUUAUAGGCACCCACCACCAUGCCUGACUAAUUUUUUGUAUUUUUAGUAGAGACAGGGUUUUACUAUGUUGGCCAGACUGGUCUCAAACUCCUGACCUUGUGAUCCGCCUGCCUUGGCCUCUCAAAGUGCUGGGAUUAUAGGCAUGAGCCACAGCACCCGGCCUCCUCCAAAUCUUUCUAAGAAAGCAUUUUGAAGCCCAACUUCAUUUUCAUUAUUAUUAUUAAUUGGGGUCCAAUUUUGCAUACAAUAAAUUGAAAAGGUUUUUUUUUUUUUUUCAAAUUUUUUAUUUGAGAUGGAGUUUCGCUCUUGUUGCCUGAGCUGGAAUGCAAUGGCGCGAUCUUGGCUCACUGCAACCCAUGCCUCUCUGGUUCAAGUGAUUCUCCUACCUCAGCCUCUCAAGUAGCUGGGAUUACAGGUGUACGCCACCACUCCCGGCCAAUUUUUUGUAUUUUUAGUAGAAACAGGGUUUCACCAUGUUAGCCAGGCUGGUCUUGAACUCCUGACCUCAGGUGAUCCACCUGCCUUGGGCCCCCAAAGUGCUGAGAUUACAGGUGUGAGCUACCACACCUGGCAAAAUUGCAAAGAUUUUAAAUGUAGUUUUAUGUGUUUCAACAAAGCUCUACACCCUUGUAACCACUGCUCCAAUUGACAUAAGAACUCUUUUAUCGCCGUACAUUCUGUUAUGUCAUUUUCCAGUAACAAUCCAUCCUCUUCUGAGGUUUUGAUUUCUAACACCAUAGCUCAGUCUGGCCAGUUUUCGAACUUCAUAUAAAUGGAACCAGACAAAAUGAUCACUUUUGCGUCUGGCUUCUUUGUAUUGAAAUGUUUUUGAGAUGCUUCUGUGUUGUUAUGUAUGUCCUCAGUGCAU
rnacentral:lncRNA from 1 species